UACUGGGAGAUGGAGAAAGUUGCGAGAGAGGGCGUCGAUUCCAUCCAGGGACUGUGAGACAAAGACGGAGAGCUCGAAGGAUAGAGGUUACAAUCUUUCCUUCUGGGGGGCGGUAGGACAGCUAGGGAUAUUAAUGUCUCUCUCUUGUUUUUCUAAGGAACAUCGAUCUUUUCCCUGCACUUGGCAACUUGACCUCUUUGAAAGUGAAUGCGACGUUGUCGAGCAAUGCUACUACAGGAUUGAAGUACAUUGUUCACAAUUCACCUAUCCUCGAAUCUCUUGUUGUUAGGAAGGUAUAUGGUGGAAAAUGGAUGUCUGAUUCCUCAUCUCAGUGCCUUAUGCUGUGCCUCAAAACAUGUAGCCUACAUUUUUUAGUGGAAAGGGGCCAGAGAUGAGUUUUUUGAAGUUCGUUUUGAAGAGGUCUCCAGUGCUGGAGAGGAUAAAGCUCUACUGUACGGAAUGCCUGUCAAGUGAUCCAGAAAAAGUAGAGUACGUUACCAAACAGCUAGAAACGGCACCUGCACACUCAAAGAAUUUUGUAAUUGAGUUUCUGUAACAUUUAUGAACUUCCUUUGGUUUCUGACAACUUUUAAAGGAUUUGAAAUUCAAGGUCUGAACUUUGUUUUUUUUUUUUUUUAUUCAAUUGCAAUGCACAAUUUUUUUGUUCCUGUU